CUACGGGUUGCACCAGUGAGGAAUAUUGCACAAUGGGGGGAACCCUGAUGCAGCAACGCCGCGUGGAGGAUGACGCAUUUCGGUGUGUAAACUCCUUUUAUAUGUCAAGAAAAUGACGGUAGCAUAUGAAUAAGCACCGGCUAGACUCCGUGCCAGCAGGCCGCGGUAAUACGGAGGGUGCAAGCGUUACUCGGAAUCACUGGGCGUAAAGGACGCGUAGGCGGGUUGGAAAGUCAGGUGUGAAAUCCUACAGCUUAACUGUAGAACUGCACUUGAAACUUCUAAUCUAGAGUAUGGGAGGGGGAGAUGGAAUUAGUGGUGUAGGGGUAAAAUCCGUAGAUAUCACUAGGAAUACCUAAAGCGAAGGCGAUCUCCUGGAACAUUACUGACGCUAAGGCGUGAAAGCGUGGGGAGCAAACAGGAUUAGAUACCCGCGUAGUC
rnacentral:rRNA from 1 species